CAAAUUUAUUUUGAUUUUUUUGAUCAUUUCGAUUUCUGCAUUUCUCAAUAACCUUGAUUAAUGUAUUUUGAUUCUAUAUUUUGAUAAUUUUGAUGAUUAAUGUAUCUUGAUUAUAUAUUUCUGAUGAUUUUGAUUUCUGUUCUUUUUUCGAUUUUAUAUGUUCUUUUAUUCUUAUCUUUUGUUCUUUUAUAUAUUGGUUCUCAUAUAUGUAUUAAGAGAUUGUAAUAAUACAGAAAAUAAUUAUUGAACAUGUUGUUCUUUUUUGCUUUAGGUUGUUGUUCUUUGUUCUUUUUUGCUUUAACUUGUUGUUCUUUUGAUAUUACACACUUCAGAUCAAAUUGUUCUUUUACCAUUUUUGUUGUUCUUUUAUUUUUUUUGUUGUUCUUUUUUCACAUGGUUAAAAUAAGUGUUCUACAUGAUAUGUUCUUUUCUGAUAUUUUUAAUGUUCUUUUUCUUUACUUUAUUAUGUUCUUUUAUGCUCUAUUGUUGUUCGUUUUUUUAUUGGUAAUGUUGUUUUACAUGGUUAAAAUAAGUGUUCUACAUGAUAUGUUCUUUUUCUUUAUUUAUAAUGUUCUUUUAGGUUCAUCCUCUUUUUGUUCUUUUGAGGAAUUGCUCUGUUUAUUCAGCCUUUCUUCUUGUUCUUUCAGCUGUUUUUGAAGAUUUAACAUCAUUUGUUGCGGGUCAAGUAAAAGCUUCAUUUGCUCUUCAAUACUGUACUUUUGAAAAAAGAACAAACAUAAAAGAACAUUAAGAUUUAUAUCUAAUAAACAUAAAAGAACAGAACAACAAAACCCAAAAAAAAAAAAAAACAAGUGCACCGUUCUUAUCAUGAACAUGGCUUGUAUUUCUUCUCCUUCCCCCUCUUUUUUUUUAUUUUUUUUAUUUUUCAUUUUCUAUAUAUAUAAUAUUUCUCCUAUUGGAUUCAUAAAUUAUCAUUUUAGAAACACAUUCUUGAGAGAGAAAGAGGAGUGCUUUUAGUUUCUCCCAACAAAAGAGAGAUUUUAUGAGAGAGAAAGUUCAAAACAAAUUUUCUCCUCCUUCUUUCUCUGAAAUGUGAUUUUAAUUGAAUUACGUUUACAAAAAACUAGUUUAUUAAGCGAAAUACUAUUUCAAUUUCGCUAUUUUUUGAAUUUUUUUAUUCAUUCAAAGAGGUUUAUGCUGUUGAUGAAGGUGCAUCGGGUGAUUAAGGUAAAUUUUCUCGUUCUUAAUUCUAUGUUCUUUUUAAGUUUUAAUGUUCUUUUCUUAUAACUUUCUAUUUCUGUGGCAUCAAAACAGUGUGUUCUUUUUUAGAAUCAGCAAUUGUUCUUUUUACAUGUUUAUAGUGUUGUUUUCAGAUAUCUUUUGAUAAAUAAAAUAACGGAAUUAGAACAUAAAUUGGUUGAAAAAGAACAUUUCCAGAACUUAAAAGAACAAGAAAAAAUAUAGAUCUGGUUUUAAAGUUCAUCAAAGGUUCGUCGUUUUAUUUUUUAAUUAGAACAUAAAUUGGUUGGAAAAGAACAUUUCCAGAACUUAAAAGAACAAGAAAAAUUAUAAAUCUGGUUUUAAAGUUCAUCAAAGGUUCGUCGUUUUAUUUUUUAAUUAGAACAUACUGUAAAUUGGUUGGAAAAGAACAUUUCCAGAACUUAAAAGAACAAGAAAAAAUAUAACUGCUUUUUAUAUUUGUACCUUUUGACUGAUUUGUCAAUAUUAGUGUUCUUUUUGUUAGUGUUCUUUUUGUUAAUGUUCUUUUUGUUAAUGUUCUUUUGUUAAUGUUCUUUUUUUUUGCGGUUUUUAUUUUUGUUGCGUUUUAUUGUUAUUUAUGUGCGUUUUGGGACAGGUGCACCAAGAGCACCAUGCACACCCCUGCACAAUCUGAGCGACGAUUUUACUCCAGUUUCUUUCUCUCACCUCUUUCAUCCCUGCGCUCCUUUUUUUUUCCUCCAUUGAAUUGUUGUGCUUCAAAUUGAUCAAGAAAACUCAAAAUCAUUCUUACACGAACUACAGUUAACACAUAAUCAAGAAUGCGGAAGAUAAUCAAUAUGAAGAUAGUGUUGAACCCACCCUUGAAUUUGCCCUGACGACCAAAGAUAUUACUGGAUGUGGAGCUAAAGAGACCCUUUUAAUUUUCAACAAUGAGGUGGGCUUUUCAAGGCAAAACAUGGAGUCCAUUUGUAGUGUGGGUCGAUCCACAAAGAAAAGGAAAAGAAACAAGGGCUUCAUUGGUGAAAAAGGGAUUGGUUUCAAAAGUGUUUUUUUAGUGAGUCAACUACCUCACAUUGUUAGCAAUGGUUACAUGGUGAAGUUUAGUGAAUUGCCAAAUACAGAUUGUGGUAUAGGAUUCAUUGUUCCUGAAUGGAUAUGUGACGAAUAUUUUAUAGCUAAAGUACAACGUGUGUAUGGGUUGAAUAUCUUACCGAUGACAACAAUCGUCCUUCCAUUAAAGACAGAUAAGGUGAAUGCAGUAAAAAAGGAAUUGUCAUAGCUUCACCCUGAGUUGCUUCUGUUUUUGUCAAAACUGAGAAGGUUGUAUGUCCAUGAGGGAAACAGUGGUCCAAAGGAAGCAGCAGACAGUGUGACUGCAAUAUCCAUAAUAAGUGAAACCAAUCAUGUAGUUUCAAGAGAUAUAACUGCAGACUCACGCGUUGUUCAUCUCUCAGUGAAGAAGAAGGCAAUGCUCCUGAACAGAAAUGCCGGUAUUACUUAUGGAAACAAGCUUUUCCGGUGAAACCUGAAGCCAAUGUGAGUGGAAGAGAAGAUGUGGAAGAAUGGAUUUUGUCACUUGCUUUUCCAUUUGGCAAGAGGCUAAAAAGAGGGACCUCUUUAGUUGGCAUCUUUGCUUUCCUCCCUCUCAAUCCGUGGACUAUGGACCGUGGUGCACAUAGAGCAUGGUGCACCAAAAGAACAUAUGUGCACAAGUAAAAGAACAUGACACUACGGCGAAAGAACAUGCGAUAUAAUAUUCACUUUUUUGUUAUAAAAAUAAUAUAUUAUUUUACUAUUAAUUAAAAACCUAAAUAAAAAAAAUACUCAUGUUCUUUUCUCGUAACCAGAUGUUCUUUGAAUUAUAUACUAGUGUUCUUAAGGUGCAGCAUGCUCUAUGUGCACCAUGGUCCACCUUCUAAAUUGCGCCUCCUUACUUCUAUGGUGACAAAUUUUCCUUUUGUAGUUCAAGCUGAUUUUAUCCUUGCUUCUUCACGAGAAUCAAUUGUCUUUAAAGAGUGUGUUUGGAAGCAGAAGAUUGAUGGGUUUCCAGUGGGAAUUCAUGGUUUGAAGUUGGUUUUGUUUGGAAAAGGAGAUUAAGGAGUUUGUUCUUGGGAAGAGUGAGAAAAAUGAAGUACUGGAUUUGAGGAUUAAGGAAGUUAGAUAAAUGGUGGAGAAUUGUAGUUUGGUUGGACCUGGAAUUGUGAUUAAUUUGGGAGAAUUGAAGGUUUUGGUUGAUGAUGAAAAUGAAAAUGAUAUGAUGAAUCAAGUGGUUUUGAAGUUGAGUAAUUUGGUUGAAGUUGAUGGGAAGAAUAUUUGGUUGACUGGUUUUGCUGCUAAUUAUGAAACUUACUCUAAUAUUGUGGCUAAGUUUCCAACUCUCGAGAAAGAUUGGGAUCUUCAUCUUCAUCCUGUGCCUAUUACUUCCUCUAGAUCUUCAUUCGACGGAUUUAAUUCUAAAUCGAGCUAGCUACCAGAAUACAAGUACAAGUAACGAGGCAACUGUUUCACUUUUGCCCUCAAACCAAGAGUGAAGAGUUCCCAUUUAAGAGGAAGCUUUCCCACAUCAUCAAUGACAGCUUUGAGGUAUCAAAACGUGCCCAGAAAAGUUCUCUUGAUUUGAAUUUACCAUUGGAAGAUACAGAAGAGGGUCCUGACUCAUGACUCAUGAGAUGGACAUCUGUGGAAUAGAUAUACUGUAUGUAUAUUUCUAAGUCCCCUUCUUUGAGCUGUUAGUAACCUUCAAUUUAGCUCAUAUAGCUUGCUCCAAAUUGUUUUACUAGUGGUUAUAAUAUUGAACAAUUAGUUUAGCUAGAAAUAAUGUUCAUAAUGAAAUUGUUCAUACUUUUUGUUUUAUUUGUUCAUACCUUUUGUAUUCUUUGUUCUUUCUUGUUCUAUUACUGAGCAUCUUUUAAACUCU